rnacentral:rRNA from 1 species
AUGGAGGAGUCCGGGGAGGCGAGCAUCGGGCCCUUCAGGAUCGGCCCGUCGACGCUCCUCGGCCGGGGCGCCGCGCUCCGCGUGCUCCUGCUCAGCUCGCUCUGGCGUCUGCGUGCCCGCGCGCGCGCCGCGCUCUCGCGUGCGCGCGGGGCCGCGCUGCCCAUGGCCGCGUCCUGGCUGCACCUCAGGAACACCCACGGCGUCCUCCUCGCGGUCGUGCUCCUCGGGCUGCUCCUCAGGAAGCUCUCCGGGGCGCGCUCGCGGCUGGCGCUGGCGCGCCGGCGUCAGCUCUGCAAGAGCGCGAUGCGGUACGCGGGGACGUACGAGGAGUGGGUGCGCGCCGCCAAGGUGCUCGACAGAAUGUCCGACCAGGUCAAUGAGUCGGAUUUCUACGACGUUGAGCUCAUCGGGAGCAGGCUCGACGAGCUCCGGCGGCGGAGGGAGGAGGGAUCGCUCCGGGACGUGGUCUUCUGCAUGCGCGGCGAUCUCGUCAGGAACUUGGGGAACAUGUGUAAUCCUGAGCUGCACAAAGGCAGGUUGGAGGUGCCUAGACUUAUAAAAGAUUUCAUUGAUGAGGUUUCAACUCAAUUGAAAAUGGUUUGUGAAUCCGAUACGGAUGAGUUACUUUUGGAGGAGAAGCUUGCCUUUGUUCAGGAAACCAGACACGCCUUUGGAAGGACUGCACUACUCUUAAGUGGGGGUGCUUCACUAGGUUCCUUCCAUGUAGGUGUAGUGAAAACUUUGGUUGAACAUAAGCUUCUGCCUCGGAUAGUCGCAGGAUCAAGUGUUGGUUCCAUUAUAUGCUCAAUUGUCGCUACCCGGACAUGGCCUGAGAUUGAGAGCUUCUUCAUAGACUCGUUACAGAUCUUGAAGUUCUUUGAUAGGAUAGGUGGAGUUUUUGCUGUGACGAAACGGGUUAUGACUUAUGGUGCACUUCAUGACAUUAGCCAGAUGCAAAGGCUUUUGAGGGAUCUCACAAGUAACUUAACAUUUCAAGAGGCUUAUGACAUAACUGGCCGUGUUCUUGGGGUCACUGUUUGCUCUCCUAGAAAAAAUGAGCCACCGCGCUGCCUCAACUACCUGACAUCACCACAUGUUGUCAUUUGGAGUGCUGUAACUGCCUCUUGUGCAUUCCCGGGCCUCUUUGAAGCUCAGGAGCUGAUGGCAAAGGAUAGAUUUGGCCACAUAGUACCCUUCCAUGCGCCCUUUGCCACAGAUCCAGAACAAGGUCCUGGAGCAUCAAAGCGCCGGUGGAGGGACGGAAGUCUGGAGAUGGAUUUGCCAAUGAUGCAACUGAAGGAGUUGUUCAAUGUAAAUCAUUUCAUUGUGAGCCAAACUAAUCCUCACAUCUCUCCACUCCUCCGAAUGAAGGAGAUCGUCAGAGCUUAUGGAGGCCGCUUUGCCGGAAAGCUCGCUCGACUUGCUGAGAUGGAGGUGAAGUAUCGAUGUAACCAAGUUCUAGAAAUUGGCCUCCCACUGGGAGGGCUUGCAAAGUUGUUUGCUCAGGAUUGGGAGGGUGAUGUCACCAUGGUUAUGCCAGCAACAGUAGCUCAGUACUUGAAGAUUAUACAAAACCCGACAUAUCCAGAACUCCAAAUGGCUGCCAACCAGGGUCGCAGGUGCACAUGGGAGAAGAUCUCUGCGAUCAGAGCAAACUGUGCAAUUGAACUUGCAUUGGAUGAAUCCAUAGCAGCCCUCAACCACAAACGAAGGCUAAUAAGAAGCAUUGAAAGGGCAGCAGCUUCUUCCCAGGGAUAUACCGACAAUGUUCGAGUCAAAACACCAAGGAGGGUACCAUCAUGGAGCUGCAUCAGUCGAGAGAAUUCGUCAGGAUCUCUCUCGGAAGAUCACUUCGCGGCCGCUAUUUCAUCCAAUCACCAAGGUACUAUUCGAGUCGAUGGUGCGCCAAGCACGUCUCAUCAUGUUCGUCAGAUGUCACAUGAUGGAAGUGAGAGCGAAUCAGAGACCAUCGACUUAAACUCAUGGACCAGGAGUGGUGGGCCUCUGAUGAGGACUUCAUCAGCUGACCAGUUCAUCAACUUUAUCCAGAAUCUCGAGAUUGAGUCCGAGUUCGAUGGGGUUCAUACAAUAGAGGGUGGCAAUGCAGGUAUUUUCACAGGACCCACAUUUCCUAGAGAUCCAUAUCCAACCAACAUUUCUAGAGCUACUACACCAGAUGGUCCAGAUAGAUGCACAGAGGUUUCUGAAACAGAGUCAUGCAACAAUAGCAAUACCAGCAUUGCUGUGUCUGAAGGAGAUCUGCUGCAACCUGGAAGGACCACCAACGGGAUUCUACUUAAUUUUGUCAGAAGAGAAGAUCUGAUUGCUCGGCAUAACGGCGAUGCUGAUGUGGCCGAGAGCUCCUUACCCGAAGCAUAUGUGGACAGAACACAUUCAGAAUCGGGUGACGCCAUCUCAGCUGCUUCUAACAGCUCUGAAGAUAACAAAGAUGUCGCUGACUUGGACAAUCCCUUGGUUUCUCAUUCAGAUUUUGUAACUCCGCCUCAACCCUCGGUUGAUGAUAACGAAGGCGCUAGGCUAGAUAUUGAAUAA